rnacentral:hammerhead_ribozyme from 1 species
AUUCAGCUGACAAGUCCCAGAAAGGACGAAACAUGUGUCUCGGAU